rnacentral:tRNA from 1 species
UUUUAUAUAGUUUAAAAUAAAACAUUAUAUUUUCAUUAUAAAAAAAAAGAAACCUCUUUUAUAAAAU